CUCCAGUGCAGUAGAGCUGUUUUCUGUACCAAGCCUUCUUUUUUGUUAAAAGCCUCCAUGAAGAGCAAACAGAAGGCAUAAAUCAAGUGGUUGGGUUUCAGUGGGGUGAAAACCAUAGCUGUGACUUCUACUGGCAACAUUCCCUGCAGGCACUCAGACCUCCUUCAAGGUAAAAGACUACAUAGCAGCAGCAGAGCAAAGAGAUCUGUGACUAAUGCAUCAGUGGAGGGCUUGUCUGUGUCCCUGUUCCAGGAGUCUAAGUAUUUAACUGCUCCUUGGUCUCCAACUUUCGUGGCCAUCCCAGGAAAUAAGGCAAAGAGCUUUCAAUGUGUCAAAGGAAGUCCCGCUCUGGGUUCAGUCUCCUGCCUGCGCUCCAAGGCAGAGGCCCCACUGCCACUCCUGUCCCUGCCCAAAAGCAAGGAGUUGCUUCAGUACCUUGGCUGCAGGCCUGAGAUGGAAUAUUUGCCUUGGCACAGCUCCAUUUGGAUCUCGUAUGUGCUCAGAUGGUCAAGCACCCCAAAGAACAUGUACUCUGCCCUGCGGAAGACUGUGGCACCUUCCCUUCCAAGCUGGUGUGUGCAGAGAAGACAGUGUGGGCCCAGGUGCAAAACCUAGCCUGGUACUCUGUGUUGUGGAAAAAUACCAGGUAGCGUAACAGUAUUAGUUCCUAAUAAUAAAAAUGCCCAGCACCAAGAAAAUCAUUGCAAAAAGAGAUGUUAUGAGGCAGAAAGUUAAGGCAAAUAUGUUAUUGCAAAUGCCCUAGGGAAAGCUGCUACCCACCGGGAAAAAGGAGAUGGGCUUCCAGCAGAGGAAGAGCCCAAAGAGCAGCACAAGGAAACAAAAUCCCAGUAGAGCACCCAAAUGACAGGCAGGUAGGAACAAGAAAGAGGUGAGUCCUUGGCCAGGCACACAAGGUGCUUGUCAGAGAUAUUGUAGUGGUGCUGGGGUGAGGCACUGUAGGCAGAGUACCAGGUUAGAGCAACCUCUUCCCAGAGAUUAAGACCACUUAGGCUCAGUGGGUUAGUCUCUCCCAGGAGAGAAGGGUAACUCCUGUUCUCUCGUCACCUAUGAUGUUCUCUUUAGAGGUGUGCUCCAAAACCUUGCCUACAUGCAGUCCACAGCUUUCAUUCCCAUUAGUGAAGUCAUGGAAAAAUCACAGCAAAAGGAAGGAGGUUGG